UACAAGAAAGAAAAAUACGCUGUAUACAAAAAAUAAAAGAUGAAGGUUUUUUUAUUACUACUAAUGGUUUAACAAAUAAUUGUAUAUUAUACCUAGCUGUUAAUCUUUUAUCUCAUAAUUUAAAGGUAUAUAAUAAUGACUGUAACAAAAAAAAAAAAUAUAUAAUAACAACACAACCAACUGUUAUUUAUAAAAUACCACGGACAUGUUUUUCUAAAAAAAUGUUUAUACAAAAUAUGGAAAUAAAUGAAUAUAAUAAUAUAUUAGUUUGUUUAACAAACAAUAAUGAUCUUUACAUUUUUUCGUUAAAAUAUUUUUUUCUUUAUUAUUAUAUUAAGUUACCAUAUUAUGAUAAAGUCAAAAAGAUUUUUUUAAAUAGCAACUAUAACAGCAGUAGUAGUAGCAGUAAUAAAACGAAUGAACAGCAACAUAUAUUUAUUUGUUUAUGUAAUAAAUAUAUCGGAUUACAAUUUUCAGUUACACUUUUUCAUGCGUUUAAUAUGAUUCAAAGAUAUAAUUUAAGCAUUAAUAAAUGGUUACAUUUGAUUAGUGAUUAUAAAUCAUGUGACAUUGAUGAGCAAACUUUGGUGCAUAAAUUUUUUAUAGAUGAAAUUUAUGAUUAUUUAAUUAGAAAAGUUACAAAAAAAAAAAAAAAUUUAAAAAAAAAAAUUAACUUGAUACCUUUUUCGUUUGAACAUCUAAACGAUGAUUUAACAUUUUUAUCCGAUUUGAUAACAAAAAAAGAGAUUGUAACAGGACACAGUAAACAAAAUGAGCAACACGAAAAAGAAACAAAAAAAAACGAUGGUGCUAGUACUGAUAAGAGCUUAGAUAUAUGGGACUUUAUACAUACAUGUGGUACUGCUAAUAAUGACAAAGAGCAAAAUAGAACUAUCACCAAGAUAGGUCAAAAAAAUGGACAAGAACAAGAACAAGCACAACUAAAAGAACACGAAAAAGAGCAAGAACAAGAACAAGAACAAGAACAAGAACAAGAACAAGAACAAGCACAACUAAAAGAACAAGAAAAAGAGCAAGAACAAGCACAAGCACAACUAAAAGAACAAGAAAAAGAGCAAGAACAAGCACAACUAAAAGAACAAGAAAAAGAGCAAGAACAAGCACAACUAAAAGAACAAGAACAAGCACAAGAAUAUGAGCGAACGAAAAAAAUAAUCGAAAUAAAAUUAAAUUAUGACAGUGGAUCCUUAAACAAUAUUUUUAACUUAAAUACUAACAUAAUAGAUCAAGUUAUAUUAUACAGUUUAAGAGAAACCAAAUAUGCCAAAAAAAGAGAAGAAGACAUUAAAAGGGCUUUAUUAUAUAAACAAAAUAUGCAUUUACAAAUUGAAAAAUUAAAAAAAAAAUAUAAUCAAUUAGCUAAAAAAAAAAAAUUUAUUAUAGACACUGAUUUUUCUUAUACAGUGUAUAAAAAUUUAAAACAUAAAAUAGAACUAAUUAAAAAUGUUUUUAUUUAUGAUCAACAAAUAUGUGAUGAUCGAAUAAAGUAUCUUUCAAAUAUGUAUUUACGACUAAUGUUUUUUAAACAGCCGAUACAGUCUUUUCAUUUCGAUAAAACAAAGCAUAUUACAACCAAGUCUAUUAAAAUGUACUUAAAAAAUAGAAAAUAUCAAAAAGUAAAAAAAUGUAAAAAAAAAAAAAAAAUUAUAAAAAAAAAAACACAAGACAAUUAUGACUUCCAAUCAGAAAUAAAAGAAUGCUUAAAUCAGUUUAACCAAUUAAAAAAAAAAAAUUUAAAUAAAAAAAAUAUAAACAGUGAGGAAAAAAUCGAAGAAAUAUGUUAUAAAAAAAAAAUCAUUAAAAUUUAUGAAAAUGUUUUAGCAAAUAUGGAAAAAACGAUGAAAAAUGAAGGAUC
ensembl:lncRNA